CGAGCGGAAGGCCCUUCGGGGUACUCGAGCGGCGAACGGGUGAGUAACACGUGAGCAACCUGCCCUAGGCUUUGGGAUAACCCCGGGAAACCGGGGCUAAUACCGGAUAGGACCACCGGUCGCAUGGUUGGUGGUGGAAAGUUUUUCGGCCUGGGAUGGGCUCGCGGCCUAUCAGCUUGUUGGUGGGGUGAUGGCCUACCAAGGCGACGACGGGUAGCCGGCCUGAGAGGGCGACCGGCCACACUGGGACUGAGACACGGCCCAGACUCCUACGGGAGGCAGCAGUGGGGAAUAUUGCACAAUGGGCGGAAGCCUGAUGCAGCGACGCCGCGUGAGGGAUGACGGCCUUCGGGUUGUAAACCUCUUUCAGCAGGGACGAAGCGUAAGUGACGGUACCUGCAGAAGAAGCGCCGGCCAACUACGUGCCAGCAGCCGCGGUAAGACGUAGGGCGCGAGCGUUGUCCGGAUUUAUUGGGCGUAAAGAGCUCGUAGGCGGCUUGUCGCGUCGACUGUGAAAACCCGCAGCUCAACUGCGGGCCUGCAGUCGAUACGGGCAGGCUAGAGUUCGGUAGGGGAGACUGGAAUUCCUGGUGUAGCGGUGAAAUGCGCAGAUAUCAGGAGGAACACCGGUGGCGAAGGCGGGUCUCUGGGCCGAUACUGACGCUGAGGAGCGAAAGCGUGGGGAGCGAACAGGAUUAGAUACCCUGGUAGUCCACGCUG
rnacentral:rRNA from 1 species